ACGAGUUUUGCACUCUCCAGCUCAGAGUUCGGUUCCCUAUUCUCCCCUUCCGCACCUGAAGGAAGCACAAAUCAUACGACUUUACCUAGUUGACAGAUACAGGCAUCCUCUCACAUCGCUCACCAGACAAUUAUCGGGCUGCGACAGAUCUAGGCAAAGUUUAGGAGCAGGCAGAGCGUUGGUGUCGCCUUGUUCUCACCGCAAGCUGACCUUGUCAGUCUCUGCAUCGCGCCUUGGUGAAAGGUUUUUUUUUUUCAUAUUAAUUUAGAAGCUAAUUCAAGGAAGAAGGCAAACGGCUCCUACGCAGCCGUCUUUAAUAGCACUUUCCAGGACCAGAAAUGCUUCCAUCAUUCGUCCACGCUUAGUCCAAUUCAACUGGACUGUAACAAGCACUUUCCAGGACUAGAAAAUCCUCGGAGACAUGCGUUCCACUUGAGAUGUGGAAGAAAGUGACCAAUUUUCUCCUCCACCUGGACAAUAGAAACUCAGGAAGAGUGAUCAACCAAGUCACUGCAACCAUGCUCUUCCUCGCUUGAGCCGUCAUCCUCGCUCCUUUUGUCGUGCUGAUGAGCUAGACGUUCAUAGAACUCCAGCGCUUUCGGGUGUGCCUUGAUGAUGGUGGGAUCGAAGCCAGAUAAAUGGAGCCCGCUCAAGCUCCUCACUCGGGACAGAGCGACAUAAACCAUCCCGUACCCGAAACUCCUGGUUAGAUCAGUAUGGAGACUGUCGAGGCUCAUGCCCUGGCACUUGUGGAUGCUUAGAGCCCAAGCCAGUAUGAGGGGAAUCUGCUUCCUCUGAGCAACCACGGAAUCUCCAUCGACCACGUACCACGUCUCCGGCUCGAUAACCACUGUCCUGCCGGAAUCGAACUUCACCACUGGCAAGACACCUUCGGAACAUAGUUCAGAGACGUCCCUAUCCUGCGGCUUCACAAAUUCAACUACUGUACCGACAGCACCGUUCACGAGCCCACGCGAAGUGUUCUUGUUCUUUAUCAGCAUCACCCUGGCGCCUUUGCAGAGAAAGAUCUCAUCAGGCGCCAUGCCCCGCUGGACUUGCCUCUUCCAAGGAUCACUGCCGCUAUCGGCUGCUGUAAAGAAAUAGCCCUCUGCUGCCAGCUCUUCAAUUCUGGAAUUGUUCACCUCAUUGACAUCCUCGUUCCGUGGAUAUAGCUGAACAACGGAAGGAUCUGGCUCAUCGGAUGCACAAGAUUCUUCUAGGAAUUCCCAGUCGUCAGGACUGAUCUGGCCUUUCCUUAUGCCCUGAAGCACCUUAACGAGCCUUUCAUCCGAUUGCCUGAAUACUUUGGUAAGCUCAAUCUGCAAGUCGAAGCUUGAUUGCCAACAGUCGGCUUCGAAAGCGAAUUGUUUCCUCGACAUGCAAUUCCCAUUUCUUGGUAUCGGCGGCAGCUGCAAGAAGUCCCCGGUCACGAUGAGCUGAAUCCCUCCCCAAGUCUCGCCCGAUUCCCGCACCUCUCUAGCAAUACAUUCAAGAUCGUCGAACAGCUCGCCGUCCACCAUACUGAUCUCAUCUAUAAACAGGGCCCGGACCUUCUUCCACCUCUUGCACGCCUUCUUGUCCAUGUAAAUGUCCAAAGCCGAAGCUCUGUGGCUGGGGUUCCUGAUGCCCGCGAAGGAGUGCAGGGUCUGCCCGCGGAGCGCGCAGGCGGCCACCCCGGUGGACGCAGUCACGAAAACCCUGGACCGGCCCAGCGAGUCCUUCAACAGCUUGAUGAUAUGCUUGAGCAGGGCGGUCUUCCCCGUGCCGGCCGACCCGGUGACGAAGACGGACUGGCCGCCGGAAACCGCCGAUAUGAUUCGGGUCUGCUCCUCGGUCCACUGCAAAUGGCGGGUCCUGGUGGAGGUCCUGGCGGCCCUGGCGCCUUUCGGGCGGUCCUUCUUGCUCCCGGCCUCGCGCGGCUCCUUGCCCGGAGCGGGUUUCCUAGGGGGCGCCGCCGGGGUCUUGCUGCUGCCGUAGUUUCUGUAAGCGCACUUCAACGCAGCAAGAACCCUCAUCCCCAUCUCGCCGCCUCUUCCCGAAACUCUCCUUUUUCGUUUCUUGGGUUCUUCAAGAACUUGGAAACCCGGGAAGAAUCUGGAGCUGACCCGACGCAGCGGAAAGAGAGGGGGAGACGUCCAUGGCGAUGGCGCGAGGAUCAGCUUGCGGUUCUUGAUGAUGCGGAUGGCGAGUGAAGAGAGAAACUCGCCAUCGGGGAAGAAGGAGAUGCGAAAUCUUGGACGACGACGGUAGGCAUAUAUUGGGUUUUGCUCCGGUGGUGAUUUCGGGAGGUAUCCCUACUUUGAAGGAAUAUAUAUGCAUAUAAUCAGGUAAUUUAAUUCAAAUUUUAAUAGCUCAAAUGCAUUAAAUCUCCAGCUCCGUUUUUUCACGGAAAAGAAUGAUAUUUAAUAAAAUAUUUUUUAUAUUGCUUGAAAAAAUUAAUUAAUAAUAAGCAUUAUUUUUUACAAAUAUUUGCCUUUUCUUUAAAAGAAAAAAAGGGAUCAUUAUGUAUCAAAUUUCGUUAACCGUCUAAUCUCAUUUUGGAACUAUUUGAUUUGAUUCAACCAUUGUUUCUAAGUUGUUCAUCAUCUUUUGGAUAUUCAAUAAAUAGGCAUCAAUUGAAAUCGAUAUUAGAUAUAGAAAAUUUAAAAUCAUACGAUUGGAUUUUUUACGUGACACUUUACAUUAUAAGAAUGAUACAAGUUCAAUUCCUACUCUUAAUUAUUUUACAUCAAUUCGACAAUUGACACUCCUAAUUAUUACAAUGAUUUGUUUUUGGCAAGAUGAAAUCAAUCAAUUAUAAGCGGAAUUGAUACCUCAAUUCAAAAGCAAAACCAUUAUCAACCAAGGCAAAUUUUCCAUUUCUUGUUAGAAAUUCAAAGCAGCUUUCAAAUUUUGACAAAGAAUUUAACAGAAGUCUCAAAUUUCAAAAAACGAACAAGUCAAAAUACAUGAAAUACAUCUCGAUUAAACAAAAUAAAAAUCGAAAAAAUCACUCCAACUUCUUUUUUUCAUGGAAAAUCCAAAUUAAGGAGAAACGAAAAAUUUCCAACUUCUUAUUUUCAUGGAAAAAUCCCGAAAGAUCUUCAAAUUUUUUUUUUCUGUCAAAAUUCAACCGGGUAAACAUUAAAAAAAAAAAAGUCGGCCAAUUUUUCUUAUUUUAACCUAAUUUUAUUUCUGUCGACAAAAGAGGGCGAAAAAAUGAGGUGAAAAGUUCGCGCUUCAUCUCCUCCGCGCUCCGUUACGCGCCUCCCCACCGGAUUCCUCCCUCCCUCUCUCUCUCUCUUUCUCUCGAGCGUCAAUGGCGUAAACCCUAGAAAUCGGGCGAUCCCCCGCCUCGCUUCACCCCGCUCCCGCGCAGUUCCCCGAUCGCCAGCAAGCAACCAAGCAACCGAGCAGGAGCUCACUCCGGCGGCACCUCGUAAGUCCCCUCGACCCUUCCCCCCUCGGCUCUCUCUCGCGUCGCUGAAAAGCUCUCGCCUUUCGCCCGUAAACCCUAAUCGGGUCCGUCCUCCUCUCUGUCCUUCUCUCCCUCUCUCCCUCUCUUUUCUUUUUUUGUUUUGAGCGGAGCGCGCGGUCGGAUUCUGGGGCGAUUUAACACUCCGAUCCGAAACCCAUUUUUAGGGUUCUAAACCAUUAAAAAUGGCCCCGUCUUGACCCGACCCGGAUCUCCGCGCGUGCCCGUUGUGCGUGCUUUGUUUUUUUCCUGACCUCGGUUGGUCACGGUGACGGGUUUCGGGUUUCGGGUUUCGGAUUCCCCCCCCCGAUCCGUCUCCGGCCCUUCCUUCCUCGUGCAUGCUGCUGCUGCUGCUGCUGCUGCCGCCUCCUGGCGCCGGGGUUUCGUCGGUCCUCUGGCUCUGGCGCCGGUUCGGGGGACCGAAGCGUGCGGCCUUGUCGUGAAUGCUUCUGUGCGUUCUUUCCGUUGCUCCGUCGUUCCUACAUCGUGGGUGUGCGGUUUUCGCCGGGUGAAGUGGGAAGCGCGAGUCUGGUGUUUCGGGUUCGAAACGGCCCGAUGGCCGAUGCGAUAUGAUGAUUCGAUGAACAUGGCGGCGGUCUCAGUUUCGGUGUCGUUUCUGCCGAGGGUAGUAUGUAUGAGCUCUGUCUGUGUUGAGAUCGUUAAGCAGGGAAGUGGCAUUCUCGUUAGGUCCUAGGUGGGUUCGGUUUAUCUGUUCGGUUUAACUGGUUUCGCAAAACGGGCUUGACCAUCUGUGCUCUGAGAACCCAGAAAAGCUGGGAUGGCAGGCGUCUUCCUAUGGGGACAUUUCCAUGACAUUCCCCCCGGGUUACUGCUGUUCAGGGAAUGCCAAUGCCUGUUAAAUUAUAAAAGGACUUGCGAGAUGCAGCAUUUGUAUGAGGGAGCGAGUUGCUGUAACAGUAGUCACUUGGACCGAAUCUGUCUUGUGUAAACCACACAGAAGAAGCAACUGGUGCAUUCCGGCAGUAUCGUAGUUGAAGUAGAUUUUGGUAGAAUUCAUGUCUUAUCAUGCAUACAACUUUUAGGUUCUGAACUUCCGAUUUGUCUUUUUCUUUUGAAUACAUGGUUUAUAUUAAUGACCAAUUACAGACUGGUCCUAUUCAAAUAUCUUUGGAAUACUUGGUUUGUUUUCCCUUUACCAUUAUCUGAUUAGAAUAUUGCUGUUAGUGAAAGACCUUCCAGGUUGUAUGGACAAAUUAAUGAUUGACUUGGAAUCUGCCGAGAUUUUUGUUUACGUAACUUAUGUGUCAGUUGCUUUCUUACUCUGCGUGAGAAAGUGGUCUGUUUUGCUUCGGCCUUUACUUAUGCACUUUCCCUACGCUGUCCUAUCAGUGAUAAAUCAAAUUGAUGCCACAUAAAAAUGCCAGCAUCAUUUUUUUUUUUUUUUUGCUGAUGUCAUUUGCUUAUACUCAAGAUGAAAUUGAUUUUGUUUCUAACAUCUGCUUUUGGGCAACAUUAGAGAUGUUGAAGUUAAAUAGAAAAGGCCUACCGAAUCCAAAGCCAAAGUCUAGAGAAAUGGAUGAACUCUCAUAAUUCUUGAGGCUGAUGCGCUGCAUUUCAUGAAUUCUUGGUCAUGUUUGAAUUGUUUGCUUGGUGGAAUUGGGCUAGAUGAUUCAAACUUCCUUUCCUAUGUAGUAAACUUCUUUCAUUGAUUUAGGGAUUGACUUCUUUCUAUUUCCGUCCGCAGGUUAUUCAACUUAAGUUCAUGUGAUGGACUUGUCAGAUGCAGUUAUAAUUAAUUCUAGCAGAUUAAAAUCAGUUGUCUGGAACGACUUUGAUAGAGUUAAGAAAGGUGAUCUCUGCGUGGCUAUAUGUAGGCACUGUAAAAAGAAACUGAGUGGCUCAAGUACUAGUGGUACUUCUCAUUUGAGAAAUCAUUUGAUCAGGUGUCAGAGAAGAUCUAAUCAUGAUAUUACUCAACUCAUUCCGGCAAGGGAAAGGAAAAGGGAGCGACCCCUUGCUAUUGCAAAUUUCAGUUUUAAUCAAGAGCAGAAAAAGGAUGAAGGGCUAAAUCUUGUGAAUAUCAAAUUUGAUUCCGACCAGGUGAAAGAUGAUAAUGCAAAUGCUGUGACUGUGGGUAGUAACUACGAUCAAAGGAGAAGCCAGUUUGAUCUUGCGCGUAUGAUCAUUAUACAUGGCUAUCCUCUGAAUAUGGUUGAGCAUGUGGGGUUCAAGGUGUUUGUCAAGAAUUUGCAGCCUCUUUUUGAGCUUGUGACAACAAAUAAAAUAGAGGCUGACUGCUUGGAAAUCUACGAAAAAGAGAAGCAAAAGGUUUUCGAGGUCUUGGAUAAAUUGCCUGGUAGAAUUAGCCUCAGUAUAGAUGCUUGGGCUGGUUCUGGUGAUGUUCAAUACUUCUGUUUGGCUGCUUAUUUCAUUGAUGAAUCUUGGCAGCUGAAGAAGAAGAUACUGAAUUUUGUGUCAGUGGACUCUUCUCACACGGAUGAUAUGCAAGCAGAUGUCAUCAUGACUUGUCUCAUGGACUGGGACAUUGACCGUAAAUUGUUUUCCAUGACUUUUGAUGGUUCUUCUUCGGACUUCUUUGUUCUCAGAAUCAGAGAUCGUCUAUCACAGAACAGGUUUCUUUAUGGUAGUGGCCAACUUUUUGAAGUGCGAUGCGUCGCUACUGUUCUCAAUCAGAUGGUUCAGGAUAACUUGGAAGCGCUAGGGGAGGUAAUUUACAAAAUUAGGGAAAGUAUUCGGUACGUCAAAAGUUCACAAGCGAUGUUAGAGAAGCUCAACAAGCUGGCCCAACAAGAAAGUAUCGAGACUGAAAAGUGCUUAUCUCUUGAUAACAGCUUCAGAUGGGACUCGACUUACAGGAUGCUUGAGGUUGCCUUGGAGUACAAGACCGCAUUUUCUCUUCUGAGGGAACUGGACCCGCUUUUCACAGUUUGUCCUUCUGAUGUGGAGUGGGAGAGAGCCAGCGCCAUUACCGGUUACUUGAAUGUCUUUCUGGAGGUCAUGAAUGAUUUCUCCCGAAGCAGAUACCCGACUGCAAAUAUAUACUUCCCUCUGAUAUGCGAUAUUCAUUUGAAGUUGAUAGGGUGGUGUAAGAGUUCAGAUGAUUACAUCAGUUCUCUGGCCUUGAAGAUGAGAAGCAGAUUCGACGAGUACUGGGAUAAAUGUAGUUUGGGACUAGCUGUUGCAGCCUUUUUGGACCCUCGAUUUAAGAUGAAGUUGGUAGAGUAUUACUUCCCCCAAAUUUAUGGUAGUACUUCCCUCGAACGCAUUGAUGAGAUAUCCAGCCGAAUCAAGGCGCUUUACAAUGAACACUCCAUUGGAUCUCCAUUAUCAACUCUUCAUCAUGGUCAGGCAUGGCAAGUUGGUGGCAGUACCGGGAGCUUGUCGGGUCCUGGGAACGACGCGAAGGAUAGGCUGGUCGGGUUCGAUAAGUUCCUCAAUGAAACUUCUCAGAGUGAUGGCACGAAAUCAGAUUUGGACAAGUACUUGGAGGAGCCUCUCUUUCCUCGGAACGUCGAUUUCAACGUGUUGAACUGGUGGAAAGUUCACACCCCGAGGUAUCCCAUAUUGUCUAUGAUGGCACGAAAUGUGCUUGGCACUCCGAUGUCGAAAGUUCACUCGGAGUCGGUGUUCAACAUGGGUGGCAGGGUGCUCGAGCGGGACCGCAGUUCUCUCAGCUCAGCGACCUUGCAAGCACUGAUGUGUUCCCAAGAUUGGAUAAAAAGUGAACUAGAGAGUUGAUAACAAUUAAAGGUAAUGCACUCGGUGACUGUCGUCUUUCUCACUGAGAUUUUGUAUCUAGCUGUUUAAAUCAAUGCAAGUUAGCAAUUAUGUGGCCCGGACGGUUUCGGGAUGCUCCUAAUAAUCAACUAAUGUCUAACAAAAUUCAAUGCCCGCUCAAUAUGUUCCUAAAAAAUCUGAUUGGUUUUACUUAGAAUCUCCACCUAGUUUUGUGACUUUCCAAUAUAUGAUUAAGUUGCGCUACAGAGGGUAAUAGGAGGUCUAUAUAUGGAUAUGUGCAGGCUCGUACUUCAUUGGGCUGGGCUUGGCUUUAUUCUUUCUCUGAAACCACAGCUUGCUCGAGCAAUCAAUUGCAUGCGCUAAAAUCAAAUUCUUGGCCAAUGAAAUUUGCUCGGAGCAUAUUCGAUCGGUCAAAUCCAUGGAUCAGCUGCAGCUUUGAGAGAACAUCUGGAGAGAUUAUGCUCACCCUUUUGUUAAUACUUCUGGGCUAAACAAGAUUAUGGUUCUCUUUGCUUGGACAACUAUGGCAAAGAUCUAGUUAGCGAACAGAGACAGGAUCAUCGAAUACGAGCUGUGGCAUGGUACGUUGGAAUUGGCUUUAGUCAAGUUUGGACGUCAAGAAUUGACUAAGUUGUGACUAAUAUACCAAAGAAGACAUCGAACUUAGACGAGGUGAAAUCAUACGUGAUUCUACGUGACAACAUUCGCACGUUUCCGCAUUAAAAUAAACUCGUAGUGCAGGAGAGAAAUGCCCGGGUCCUCUUUUCUUCUUGUUGUCCAUUUCGACUUAAAUAAAGUGAUGGUGACGGGGGUUGAUCGAGCAUUUAUGGAAUUAGGUUUGUGCAUUCAAUUCGGCAUCUUUCGCCAUCAUUCGUGACACGAGUCCACCUUGGGUAGCAUCCUUGGUCCCCACCCCCAAAGAGAAUGUUGUUAUAAUUAUUUAUUAAUGUUAUAAAUAUUAGGUUUACAAAAGCUGAAUUAUUUGUAAUGCAUCUUUUUCCCCCUUUUCUGGGCUUUAAACCUCAAAAAGCAAAGUGCCCUCUUAUUAGGGCAAUGCCUCUUAUCAUGCUUAAUUGCUUUGCUUGUCCAUAACCUGCAAGGUGACGAAUUCCUCAGCAUCUGUCUGCUUUUGUAAGAUCUGGUUUAGACUUUUGUUCUCAGAUCACAAAGAUAAAGCACGCAUCCAAUUCCUCUUCAACAAUUUUUUUCCCCUUAAAUGAUUUCUUCCGUGAUCGGAGGAAUCAUAGACUAUGAUCAGCUUCUCGAUACUUUCCAAUCAGUUUCGGCAAUCAUGCAAGCAAUUGAUUUAUGGGACUGUCCUUGAAGCUAUCCUGACAUUGUGACAUGGUAAAAAUUUUGAGGGAAUGCGUGAUCGGAACAUCGUCGCCAAUGUCGUAGGUUGCGCUCUCAAUGUCGCCUGUUUGUUACUUGAUAGAGAAUCGAUCUUUCUACAGAGCUAAUUGGAUAAUGUGUGCUGCCAUUCCUAUCGCCUACCUUUACUGUCCCAUUGAAUCGUAGGGAAGAAGUUUUCUUCCUUCUCCAACUUCAAUACCAAGAUCAUUAUCUAGCUUUCGAUCAUUUCGUCAUUGCGUCAAGCAGAAAUCGUGCGAUUGGUUAUUUCUACGCAAAACCCAUUGAUGCAAUGCUAUUGUGCGCUGUAUUACAGUCUAAACUAUUUACUUUGGAAUUUCCGUGCUAUGUGAAUCGGUAAGCAUCGGUUUACAUCUUCAUGCAAAACAUUUUAUAGACAACGCAGUCGCUUGCAUUCCCUGAUUCUGCAGAAUUCACUUCGGGAGAGUGUAGCAGUGUUAGUCGCUAAGGUACAAACUUCCAAGAUUGCUCUUGCAUCAAUAGGCAGUUUAAAAAAUGGGGAAAAGCGCCAGAAAAGUCCUAAACCUUUUGUAUUUGUACUAGUUUAGUCCUAAAUAUUUUUACUUAGUGCUGAUUAAGUCCUUUUCGGCCAAUUUUGACUGGAUUUUGCUGACUAGAUGCUAGCCGGCUGACGUGGCCUAAUCGGUGCUGACAUGGACUACUUUUAAUAAUAUUUUAAUAUUUUUAAAAUAUUUUUUUAUUCUUUAUUCUUUAUUCUUUUUAUCUUCUCUCCUCCUUCCUCCGACUGCUGGCCGGUUGCUGUGGUCUGGCCAGCGGCUGGAGGAAGGAGGAGAGAAGAUAAAAAGAAUAAAAAAAAAAGAAUUAAGAAUAAAGAAAAAAAUUAAAAAAAAUUAAAAUAUUAUUAAAAGUUGUCUAUGUCAGUACUGAUUAGGCCACGUCAACCGGCCGGCAUCCAGUCAGUAAAAUCCAGUCAAAAUUGGUUGGAAAUGACUGAAUUGGCAUUAAGUAAAAAUGUUUAUGAUUAAAUUGGCCCAAAAAAGAAGAAGAUUUAGAACUAAAUUAGCACAAACACAAAAGGUUUAAGACUUUUGUAGUUCAUCAGGGUAAGUUGUAUCAUUGGGUCAUUGCAGGCUGAUGGCACAUAUAUGAUGAGCACGGUUUGAUUUGGGAGAGAUUCUUGACAUAACACGAUGAGCACGGCUCGGAAAAAAAGCUUCAACACAAAAUGCGAAUUAGAACUAUCAAGAUCAGAACACCCAAAGGAGUAAGUUUGGGUUCGACUUCUCACCGUUAACCUGAAGUUUACAACACGAUUCGACAGUACUAUACUGUUGCAAGAAAGAAUGGAUUCUCUUUUCCAUGCUCAUAGAUUUGAAUUAGUAAGUAUUGGAAUACAGUUGUUAGAAAAAGUUACUGGUUACUCGAUUUUCUCGUAAUUUGUUAGUUACUUAUCAACGGUUUUGGUGAAAUUACCAUUUCUUUUGACAAUUAACAAAUUAUCAAUUUUUUUUUGUGUAUUUCUUACCAAUUUUUCUAUGUCUUUCUUACCAACGCUUUAAGUGUAUCAACCUUGUAUCAAUGUACCAAUCUUUAUUUGAAUGACACGAUGGCUUUUUUCUCAAUUACAAUACUAACUUGUUUUUAGUUACCAGCUCACAUUUGGAUUACCUACUAUUGUCGAUGUUUUGUUUAUUUCUAAUUUGUCAAAUUUUGUUAUCAUUUUACCAAUUUUUAUCUGUCAUUCUUAAAAGUGUCUUAGAUUUAUUAACUUUACAUGAAUUUACCAAUCUUUAUUUAUGUGACUUACUGGUUAUUUCUCAUUAAAUUUCCAACUAGUUUUGGUUUACUAGCUCUCAUUUCAGUUGCUUACCAACUUUUAUAUGUCUUAAUUAUCAACCCGUAAGUUUUAUUGACUAUUUUUAGAAAUUACUAAACUCAAUUAAAUUGAUUAUCAACUUUUCUCCAAAUUAAUUUACAAACUAGUUUUGUCUUUCUAAUUCUUAUUUAAGUUAGUUAUCAACAUUUAAUUGGUUUUACCCACUCAUGCAUGGUUGCGCUGGUUGAGGCCUGACCUCCUCACCGCCAAAUCAGGGGUUCGACUCCCAGAGUUCACCACAAUUUCCAAAGCAGUUCUGUGACUUAAGCGGGGGGCCUCAGUUGGUGGGUUGCUAGGUUAGUCUCCCCCGAAGUAUAAUCGGUGUAUGUUCCCGUAAGAUGAGCUAGGUCGAAUCCUUGGCGUAAAAAAAAAAAAAAACUUUUAAUUGGUUUUUAUAAAUAACCAAUUUCUUUAAUUUAUCAAUUAAAAAAGGUUUCUUUUAUCUUUUACAAAAUUUUAUUUGUCUUUCUUACCAACAUCUUAAAUUCACCACACAACAUUAAAAACUUUUAUUUAGUAGCUUACCAAUCUAUCUCUAAUUAAGUUAUCAACUAGUUUUUCAUUAUUAACUCUCAUUUGAGUUGUUUAUUUGCCUUGUUUGCCGACUGUUUGUAGAAAUUACCAACAUCAAAUAGAGUGAUUACUAUCUUCUUUUCGAUUAAGUUACCAACUCUUAUUUGAUUUGGUUACAGAUAUCUAUUUGUUUUUUUAGAUCACCAACUUGUCUCACAUGUAAUUUAUAAACUUCUCUAAUAAUUCUAAUUAUUGACUUUUAUUUACCUUUUCACCAGUAGCUUAAAUAUUUUGUUUAAUAUAUGAAAUAACACACCUUUAUUAAUGUGACUUAUCAGCUUUUCUCCAAUGAGGUUAUUAGCUUGUUUUCCAUUACCAACUGUGAUUUCAGCUCCUUACUAUUAUUUGUUCUUUUUUCUUAAACUUACCAACUGAAAUUUUCUAUUUUGUCUUACUUAUCAACUUUUUGAAAAUUAUUGAUUUUUUUAUGAAAUUUCCAACCUUGAUGAGUUUGAUUAGCGACUUUAUGCAAUCAAGUUACCAACCUGUUUAAUGUUACAAACUCUUGUUUUAGUUAGUUAUCAAUGUCGGUUUUUUAAUUGCCAACUUGUUUUAAUUUUGACUUAAAAACUUUAUCUUAUUUCUUGCCAUCUUUUAUUUACCUUUUCUUACCAGUGCGUCAAAAAUAUCAACUAUUAAAUGAAACUACCAAUCCUUUUUCUUUUUCUUAUUUAUUUAUUUAUUUAUGUUUGACUUAUUAAUUUUCUCGAUUUAAGUUGUAAAACUAGUUUCGUAUUACUAACUCUUGUCUAAGUUGCUGGCCAACGUUUCAUUGAUUUUCCUUUAAGGGUUUGUUUGUUUCGCGAGAACUUACGUUUUGGAAAACAUUUUCCUAAAAAUAAUUGGUUAUAUCCUUUACAAAAAUAUAUGAACAAAAUGAAUUGUUGUCAAUAAUAAAGAUAUUUUUUGUUGGCUCGCUAAAACGUUUUUCAAAUCAUUCAUUUUUUAUUAAACAAAUGAAUGCUAAACUAUCAACUUUCUAUUGAGUUACUGCUUUUAUUUGCUUCACUUACCAACUUUAUCUACGUUUAAAUUAUCAACUAGUUCUUCAUACUACUCUUUUUUUGGAGUUAUUGACGAACGUUUAUUUUGCUCUUCUCAAAUUACCAACUUCUCUUAUCUUCAACCAACGAAGGAAAGGAGAGACCUUCUCUUAUCUUUAUAACUUUUUUAAUUUCUUUAUACUAGUACUUCUAAUUUACCAACUGUUAAAUAAGAUUAUCAACUUUUAUUUCGAGUGGCUUAUCAAAUUUUAUUGAUUUCGUAACCCGAUGGAAAAACUACUACAUUAAAAAAAUAACGCAAAUACUAGUAACUACCUCAAAUAGAUAUGGGAAUUACAAAACUAACCAGUAACUUAAUCGGUGAAAAAAUUGAUGAAUCACUAACAUUGAAGUUAGUAAGUUCAUACACGAAUUGCAACUUACAUUGAACCGAAUAAGUUCAGGUACUCAACUGAAUAAGACAUUUGAUUCUGAAAAUGGGAAAAAGGUUCAAGGCCUUGUGGCGUCAUUGUUCCUAAUACUAAUACAUGACGACAACGCUAGACAUACAAAGACUCAUCAAUAGACUUUAGUUAUUCAUUAAGUGAUGCGAUGAAUCGACCAUUGCUUUUUUUGUAUACCACAAACACGAGCGAAAACAAAGGCGUGAGACGCUUGAAAACUAGGGACAAACAUGGAGGUCGCCCCACCGGUCUUGUAGCCAACCAAUUAGGUUUUCUAUGGAUUAUCCUAAUACAAAGGCGAUGCAUAAAUUCUGGUGGACAAUGUUCAACGUCUAAGGGUCGCCAAGGUGGGGUUAGAUCUAAUCACGCUUUUGGGAGAGACAUGGCGCCUCGAUAAGGUCACAUUCCAAAUAAUAUUCUCCAUGUGGGUCUAGAGCUCUCUCUCUCUCUCUCUCUCUCUCUCUCUCUCUCUCUCUCUCUCUCUCUCUCUCUCUCGCGCGCGCGCGCGCAUGAACCAAUAGUACUCUAGUACUUCCCCAAAUGUGGUCCUCACCAUACACCAUUCCUAAGAGAUUUUCCUCUUGCGAUGAUUGAUGUAGAACUUUGGCCCCAUCGUUGAGUCACAAGCGCAUGAGGCGGGGCCAAAGGAGUAGAGAUGGAGGAGGGUUUCCACAGGACAUUGAAAUAUCCAGGCAUGGAACAUGGCAGCUCAUGAGAAAAUUUCUCAAAGGGUGAAUGCAAGAUGUCAUCGCCUGUGGAUCCAACUCAGUUGUCUAGCUAGGGGUAGGUAGAAGAAACGUCACAACGUUAUGGUGAGCAUCUGGGGAUAAAACAUGCUGAGGCAAAAGGCUGAAUUCUUUUCUUGGGCCUUAGAGGAGUUCUGUCCAGAGAAUUAGGCACUGUUUGGUAAAAAAUAUUUUGUUCUUUUGUUCCGGGGAACAAAAGAACAACAGAAAUAUAUUUGGUAAAACUUUUAUUUCCUGGAAUAAAUUUAGAACAUAAACAAGAAGUAGAAAAAAGUUACUUUUUGUUCUUGGGAACAAUUUCGAUAAACACUUUUUCUUUUCCUUUCCUUCUUCUUUCUUUUGGCUGGUCGUCGGCUUCGGCCAUGGCCAGCGAUCAGCCGACGAGGGCCGGUGACCUCGCCGAAGUGUCACCGGCCCUCGGCAAGGCCGAGCCUCGCCAAGCCACCGCUAGGUCAAUGUCGCCUAGCAGUGGCCCAGCGAAGCCGAGCUUGAGCUUGCCCAGCCAAGGUGAGGCCAAGCCUCGCCGUGAGUUGGUGACCCUCUAGUGAGGUCGCUGGCCCUUGUCGGUCGGUCGUCGGCCAUGACCGAGGUCGGCGACCGGCCAAAAGGAAGAAAGAAGGAAAAAAAAAAGAAGAAAAAAAGGAAAAAUAUAAUAAAAAUAUUGAAAAAUCAAAAGAAACAACAAAAUUAUAUAAGUUCACCAAAUGCAUUUCUAUUCUUGAAAUAUAAAUGUUUUGCAGUUACCAAGCGCAUUCUUAAACUCAGAAAUUAUUUCCGGGAACAUGAAUAUAUAAAACUGUUUAUAUUAAAAAAUUAUUCUUCGGAACAGAAACAUUACUAAACGCGUCCUUAUUUUCUCUCUCAAGAGAAAUUACUUGCCCUAAAAAAGGGUAAUGCAAAACCAUAGAUUUUAUGUAGCAAAAGAUUGAUGCCACGAUGUAUUUAUAUUAUGCUAUUGAGAAUUUAAUUGAUGCUACAUCAUGAAAUGGCAUGUGAUAUGGUACGAUCACAUUGUUAUGCACGCAUUAUCAGUUAGUUGUACAUAUGCUCUCGGUGUCAUUUGGACCUCUCCGUUUUGUGUGACGUGGACAAGAUAAGGUACUUUUUGUCUUCUGUUUAGGGAUUUUUGGAUUUAAACCUCUGUACUUUAUGAAAACAAAUAAACAUUCCUUCCUAGAAAGUCAAGAAAUAUGUUUUAUUCACAUUAUUGGUGUUUUAUUCGAGAUCUUAAAUUUUUGGAAGAAAAUGGUUCAGAUAACAUUGAAUCAGAACAUAAUAAUCAAUUUGAAUAUCUAUUGUUUUAUUUUGUUAGUUACUAUUAGUUAAAUCAGAUCAUUGAACGGGUUGGACGAUGCCCCCUUGAGUUCGAAGUCUGCAUGGAUUUGCCCUAGCUCACCAAAGCUUGAACUUGCUGGCUUAGUUAAGCACCCAAGCCUAGCCAUGAGAAGCAUCAUGUAAUUGUCCAAUUAGCCCAACAUUUACUAUUUACCGAUUCAAUAUUAAAAUUUUCAAUUUUUAUCAAUUUAGUCUUAAAUUAUUGUGUAAAAUUCAAAUGUAAUAAUUUCGGUUGAUUUUCGCUGAGGUUUAAACCCCGGAAAAAAAAAAAAAAAUUUGCCCCAGCCGGACCACCAACGGCAGAAAUUAGGGCCAAGCCUGCUCAUUGGUGGAAGAACCAGAGAUUGCCGGACCCAUGAGCAGAUUUGCUUCUAAUAUUUCGCAAGUUUUCCUUUUUGUUGCCGUUAUAUUUGAUUGAUGUGGUUACACAGGUGUACUUCAUAUAUCGGAUUUGGCUCCCAUGCGGGAUGUUGAAAAUACUAUACUUCGUUGACCCAUUUUCUAACUCUUCAAUUUUUUAUUUUUUAUUUUUAUAAAAAUUGUUUGACUAACAAAAAUUUAUCUAAAAUAGUUUAGAAGCCAGGAAAAGUUCAUAAUGACUUGAAAUGCUUACAAGUUGAUGUUUUUUAGAAUUUGAGAUGUUGAGUAUGAACAAAACUCAGAAUCCAAAUGUACGAAAGGUCAAGAGGUAUUUAAUAGCCAUCCUAAACAACUCCAAGGCUAGAGAUAAUUACCAUUUUCUAGUCAUGUCCAGUGCUUUCACAUUCUUUCUUCACUAAUCUGCAUGGGAAAAUAAAAAAAAUAAAAAAAAGUAUAUGUUACUUUUUUAGGGUUUCAUAGUUAGUUUUGCAUCAUAUUUCCACUUAAACUGUUAAAACUUUGUACAUUCCACCCCCAUGUUUUUUUUCUUUUUUCAGUGUAGACUGUGAUUCAUCAUUUAUUUUUGCUCAUUGAGGGAAAUUUUUUUUCAUUUGUCAAUUAACUUUUGCAAAUAUGAAAAUAUAAAAAGAAAAUAUUAUUUUUUGCAAUAUGAACAUUGAAUAAAAGGAGUGCCACGUAUUAGCUUUUUUUUUUUUUUUUUCGGUUCGGUUGCACGUAUUGGUUAUUGACCGCCAAAUCAACAAAUCGAUAGAAAUAUGUAAUAAAUCAUUUGUAAUUUUUUCUCCUCUUAAAAAAUUAACCACGCGGUUUAGGAUGGUCUGAGGCCGCUUUCUUCUUUUAGCAUUUCUGAUGUGUAAGAUGACCAUAAAUUUCUGGCUCUUUUUAAUAUAUGCUCAAUUUUUAAAAAGUCAGUGACACGUGUCAUUAUCUUAUACAUAUGAUAUGAAUUGAGUUGCUCCAUUAGAUGUCGUUCCAUUACAUUGUGAGAAUAUAUCAUAUGAAAGGGUGAUAUUGUGUGUUAUAGUAACGCGGUAUCACCACAUCAAUUAUGUCGCUCUAAAUUUUAAAAUAUAAGAUAGGACAAUUGUUAGUAUGGGCAAAAUGCAGGGAUAUAAUUGUCUUGAUAAUAUCGCAUGGUGCUAUCGCAAAAGCAUGACACUAUAUUGUCCACCCUCUAAAUUAUUAUCAAGCUCUCGCAUCUAAUCUAAAUAAAAUCUUAAAUAUCAAAUUGUGAAAAGCAUAAAAAGUGCAACUAAGUACGUCCGGUUUCUUUAACAGCUAGCGACUCCAUCCACCCACCCACUUCAUCCACUUCCUUCGUCCCUCGUAAGCGCCAGACAGGAGACAAUGUUGCUGCUUUACUUUCCGAUGCUUGGUUUGGACCUUCAGCUUUGAGAUAAACUUUUCGGUGAUGAGGUAGAGGGGAAGAUCCCACCCAUGUCCUACAAUUGAAAGAGGGCAAUCCAUUGCAGGUUUGAAGAUGAAAUGUACAGUCAUGGGCCUCCUCCCUUGUUGCCAUAAAUGAACUCAAGAGCGUGAUGUGAACUGGACCUCACAUGGCAGUCACCCUCACCCACGUCGCACUCCUCAUCUAAUUCCCAACAAAAAUGCCCUAGAGGCUAUCGCGUGGACUUGAUCUGUUAAAUCAACCGGAUGGGUACAUAGUAAUGAGGUAGUAGUUUAUUGACUAAGAAAUGAAAGCGGACUGGGUAUACAAUGCGAUAUAUGGAUUUGGUUCAUCGUGUCUACUAAGUGCUGAAAAAUCAUAUAUCAGGAUCAUUUGUUCAGGUUUUGACUCAUAUGUCACUUAAUCCGUGAAUUUAGUAGGUUGUUUUAUUCUCUCGUGGUUUAACUACCAAACAUAAGCUUGCUUAUCAUAAGAGAGAAAGGGGAUCCAUACCGGCUCGUGAAUUAAAUGUAUGCCUUUUGAUAGAUUUUUGAGACAUAUUUCCAUUGGUUUUUAACAUGAUAUCAUUAACACAAUUUGUAUAUGCACAUGUUGUUCUAUAGUAAAACACUCUGUAACUAUAUAUGCAAGGGAGAUAGAGAGAUUUUAUCCGGUAGUGAAUCACUGGCAAAUAUAUACCAUAAAGGGCAUUGCUGCAUAUCAGAUUGCCAAAUAAUAAUACAAGAAAUGUUUUAUAUACACUAAAGUUGUUUAUAGAAUCGGUAUACCUUGUGAUGUUAAACUGUUAGUGGAGGAUAAAUAUGACACAACUAUCCAAACUUCAACUGCUCGCUUGCAGUAUACUAAAUCACUUGGAAUACCGAUUUGUAUACACCAAUUUUACUAUUCUCAGCAUAGCACUGCUCCCAAUUUUAUUAAAUCCUAUUUUUUGUUUCUCUAUUCCUACCCUAUUUUCGGUGGAAGGAAGAAACAUGGGCAAGGCCCAAUGGCAUCGCGCAUCAAACACCAUUAAGGGUCACUUUUUUCAAAGAUCUCUUUGAUGAUCUCCCACACUCUUUUGCCUAUACACGAAGUAAUGGACCGCUAAUAAAGGAAUCUGCAAUGUCAAAAGAAAAAAGAUACCCUUUUUCCCAUAAUGCUAAAGCCCUAAUUCCCCCCAAAAAAGAUUUUCCCCGACAAAACAAGAAUUCCAAUGGAGGAAAAAUUAGAGGAGAGUAUGGCGUAUAAUGACAGCGCAAAGCUGUUUUUGACUAUAGUUGCACGGUCCAUUUUCUCUGCCCAUAAAUAUCCAUCUGCUGUAACCUACCUGCUUCCAUUUUCUGCAACCUCUCUCUCUCUCUCUCUCUCUCUCUGGUUCAAGAACACACCAAAGAAGAGAGACCCAUGUUAAGCUGUUAGUAUCUGGAGUCUUAUUCUUUUCAUAUUUUUCUCCAAAGCAUCCUCGUCCCCAAGGUUGGUGUUACGAUUUUCUCUCAACUUCAUUUUCUACUCUUUCUAUUUUCUUGGAUGGUUCCUCUCUCUCUCUCUCUCUCUGUGGCACACGAUCACACCAAAGAAGAGAGACCCAAGUUAAGCUUUUAGUUUCUUGAAUCUUAUCUGUUCAUAUUUUUUUAAGCAUCUUCAAAACCAAGGUCGGUGUUACGGUUUUCUCUCAACUUCGUUUUCCCCUCUUCUUGUUCUUGAAUGCUUCCUAGAUUCAAUCAAAUAAAUUGCUACUUUCCCCCUUGCUAAAAUAGACGGAUCUAAGUGAAUUUGCCCGUUUGUUUUCAGGUUUUUUUGCGGCAGUAUGGAGUUCCCGAGUGAAUUUUCAGAGGCCUCUUCACAGAAGAGAAUCGGGGGGAGAGGGAAAAUAGAGAUCAAACGGAUCGAGAACACGACGAACCGGCAGGUCACCUUUUGUAAACGCCGGAACGGGUUGUUGAAGAAGGCUUAUGAGCUAUCGGUGUUGUGCGAUGCUGAAGUGGCGCUUAUUGUCUUCUCGAGCCGUGGCAGGCUCUAUGAAUAUGCUAACAACAGGUUUUGUUGCCAUUCACGAAUAAACUCUCUUCAAAAGCGAUCUUCUUAUGGUGUUUUCAGUGCUCUUCUUCUCAUUUGGAUUUUCACCUUUUAGGCUGAGAUUUAUGAAUACACAAUCACGAAGUUGUCAAGGCUUCUGUUUUCAGACGAAACUAACGAUUAGGAACUUAUAAUUUCAUGAGCAUAACCGAUCUUUCGUCUGAUUCUCUCAAAUGACUGUCCUCCCAUGAGCUGCAAAGCGUCUAUUGUUUCUCUUCCUAGCAAUGUCUGUCACAAGAUCGAGGUGUACGCCUUUGAAGAGAUCUACUCAAAGAGAGAGCUCUCUCUCUCUCUCUCAAAAAAAAAAAAAAGCUGCGACACUUUCAAAGGCCAUUUCACAUUUUCUAGACGUUUCCUAGGAUGAAAUGUCAUUUCCAAAAGAAAAAAUCUCGGGACAAGUGCCUUAAACCCAUCAAAAUAGGGUUCAAAAUAUCCCAUAUGGCACACAUCUGAAGAGUUACUUCAAGAUCUUCACUUCAAUCGGCCUGUUAAAAAGCUGAAAGGGUUCGGCUAAGCGGGUGUCGCUGAUUUUGUCCCCUCAUAGUCUUGCUGAUCGUCUCUCUCUCUCUCUCCUCUCUCUCCCUAGUUAAAAUCGAAGUGGAGAGAAAGGAAAGUUUUGAGAUUAGUUAGGGUUUUGCAUAUUGUUUCUGCGCGAGUGAGCUGUGUGUAUCAUGUCUAAUUAGUAACAACAGCACGUACGAAUCUUUGGUCACGUCGGACAUGAUUUUUCAGUUGCUCACUAGGGACAAGGUGAGAGAGUGUAUGUGUGUGUGUCGUGAUUCCAUUGCUUGGUUUCUCUGCUUCUUUUCUUCUUUUUUUAAGUUCUCGUUCUCUCUCUCUCUCUCUCUCUCUCUCUCUCUCUCUCUCUCGUCUAUUUCUGUAUCUAAGGGCAAGAAAUAAUUGGUCCGUAUAAAUUUUCUUUCUUCUACUUUGGGAUCUGUUCAGCGCUUUUCUUUUGGAUUUGACCGAUUUAACGGGAAAGAGACCCUUAGUUUUGGCGAUUUAGUAAACAAGGAAAACAAGAACAAUUUUAGGAAAAAAAAAACCCACCUCAGAUUUCUCCACAAAUUGCAAGAAACCCAGAGAGCUUUCAUCUUUAAGGAAAUCCCGAAAGCAAAAGCAACCCUGUUUAGAUCUUCAGAAUCUUAUGCACAUACUUGAGAGAGAGAGAGAGAGAGAGAAAGCAUCUCAGAAGAAAGUUUUCUGGGUGUAACCUGAAAAAGGAAUAAAGAAAACAAGAAAAGAAUAAUUUUUUCUGGGAUUUAAUCUGUGGUUUCAUCUUCAUGUGCAUCCAGUCACUUAAAGUUUAAACAUUGAGAGCAGUUCAUGCAUUUCUGUUUAGCACAUAACCAAUUGCUCAAAGCAGACCUAAGAUUAAUGUCAAGUUAGAGAGAGAGAGAGAGAGAGAGAGAGAGAGAGAGAAUGAGAGAGAGAGAGAGAGAGAGAGAGAGAGUGGGAUAAAGUUGAAAUUGACAGGGUGAUAGCAGAGAAGAGAAAAGCGAGGGGUUCUGUACGAACCAAAGAGAGACUCUGCAACUUCUUUUAGUGCUUCUCACCGCAUUGCAAAUUGGUUUUUUUUUUCUUUUUCCUCACACUGACUUGGCUAGCAUGUAGACAGACAACUGAAAAUAAUUUUUCUUAUCCCUUUCUCUUUAUAACCCUCAUUCAUAGUAUGGUCACAAAAAGGACGGGCCUUUGAAAAAGGAUGCUUCGUCUUGGGAUUCUUCCCUGCCGGAAGGAAGAGUGUCUUCCUAGGGUUAUUAACCUUUGGAUAAUCCUGGAUUGCUUACACGUGGCAUUUGAGUGGUUUCAACUUAAAAAAGAAUGUUGGACCAAUCAUAUGAUGGUAUCUUCUGCCAGCUUGGCAGGGGGAUACCCAAUCAUUCGGUGGUUCGACGAAGUUAAGGAGGCAAAAUUCUGUGUAGUUUGAUUAGCACUCGCCGUACUGCGGAAACAGACAAAAAAGUAACUUUGCCGUCAGGUUCGUCUUAGUGUUAUCAUCAUAUGCUUACGGUGAUUGGCUCAAAAGGUUUCUCUUAUAAAAUCUUACUAAAUGAGAUAACUAAGUUAAAUGAUUACUGCUGUUUUCCAAUUUAAUUGGUGUAUGAUAGAUAAACAAAAUUUUAGGAGUCUUUGAUGUUGUAAAUAUUCCGUCAAUGUUAUUGAAAAUUCAUGUAUUAGGGGAAAACCGAUGUCGCAUUAGGAAUCAUAUAGUGCUUGACAUUUGUUUUUUACAAGAUAAAUAAUAAAAAAAUGUUGUUUACUUAGGUCCAAUUACUUUUUCAAAACUUUUCAACAUCACAAGAGUAAAGCGUCUGUCAUAUACAUGAUUUUUGAACUAUUUUUAAUUUGAUUGGAUUCUUUGUAAAUUCCCUUAUACUAAUUAAAGAUGUACAUACCAACCAUUCAUCUAUCAAGUUCUCAUGACUUCAUUAUAAUGUAGAAGCUGAGGUGACAUUUCGAAUUAGUACAUGCAUAUUUCUUUGCACAAAAUGUUUAUAGGGUUGAAUUAGAAAUAGGUUAAAAGAAAGAAAGAAAGAAAGAAAAAAGUGUCUUCGUACCUAGUACAUUUAAUGUGCAUUUUGAGACUCAUAGUGACUCAAUGAUUUCAAGGAAAUGAUCUAAAUGGCUUUGGCGUUCCAAUGUAUGAUCCUUUUUCUCAAAAUGUUAAUCAUUCACAAAUUUAAGCUGUUCAAAUAGUAUGUUCAAAGGUAUCAAAUAAAUAUUUUCAUCCAUGUAGUUUGGUUCUUCGCAACUCUUUGUCAUGAUAAAUCUAACUAAGGCUGGCUAGAUUUCAUAAGCAUGCAUUGGUUCUUUAGAAUGAAACUAUGAAAAGGUAAAGUACAAAGUUCUCGAUAUCCUACGUAGUCUUUUAGAUUGAGAUUAUCUACAAUGAGACACAUUAUUUGCUCUAAUAGCUCAUCAACGAAUUGAUUGAUGUAAUUACCAAAUAUAUAUGUCAUUCAUGUAAAGUUAAAAGACGUCGUAGUUAGAGUGAGAUCUAUGAAUAAAAAGGAGGAACCUCAAGAACAAAAAUCAUUCACAAAUUGACGUGCCAAAGAAAAGCUUACUAGACUAUAGAGCAGUGAGUAUUUUAUAUUUGCAGAUACAAACUUGCUCAAGGCUAAAUAAACUUGUGCUUUCUACUGUUUAUACAUAUUAUCGAACUACUAACCGCUUAACUAGAUCGCUAGAACUACUCAUUUUUUUGCUAAAUCAGAAUGGAGUUGUAGAAGGAAUCAUAUUUCUACGACACUAGAUUCCGUGAUAUCUCGUUCUAUCAUUUGGUAACUAUACACGAAAGUGGUAGUGGUGGUAAUUGAUAGUUAGCAAGAGGUAAUGGAGUUGGUGGUGGCGGUGGUGGCUAUGGUGGCGAUGGUCAUGCAUGAUGAUCGAUCCAGUUGGUGCAGUUAAUGGUGAGCUAGAGGUCUCUAACAUGUGGAUCAAUGCAUGAUUUCAGAGGAAUUCAUCUAUAGUUAGGAGUUAUGAUUUUAGGUAUCGUAAUCCUGAACUAAUCGAACUUCAAGAUGAUCCGAAAUGUAUCGCUAUAGUUUCUUAUAGCAAGAUAGUCCUUUUACGAGUAGGAAGCUUCAACUGACCAUUCCACAUCUUCAAUGGACUCUCAUGUAUGGUAGCAAUCCGAAAGGAGAAAGAAUUUAUGCUCUUGAUGAAAUUCAAGACUUUAUAAAGACUCCUUGAUGGCAUUUAUGCCCUUUUAUUUCGAUACUGGUAAUUGUAUAUCUCUUGAUAAGGGUUGUGUCUUUCUUGAUCCACUAGUAUAAUAUUAUAAAUCCCAGGAGAUAAGUUAAUUGACCCUUUGAUCAUUCUGAAAAUUUCUAGCUUAAUUCUUAGGCCAGCUGAUUCUCAAUUAAUGUAACAACUACAGUUCCUUUUCUUUCGCUUUUUAAUUCUUAUUUUCUGUAAUUUUUGCAGUGUCAGAGGAACAAUUGAGAGGUACAAGAAAGCAAGCAGUGAUUCCUCACAUCCACAGUCCGUUUCUGAAGUGAACACUCAGGUAGAAUUCAUUAUCUCCUUUUUUGCCACUUAUUGCAAAUGUAGUCCUUUUACGAGGCUAAACUAUGCCAUUCAACUGCGAAAAUAAAUUUCUUCACUUUCCUCUGGUUUGGAAUGAUGGCAAACCAUGAGGAGCUUAAACGUUCAAAUCUUCUAAAGAAUUUCGCAAAGUCAUUUACUAAACUUAGAUAUGCAUGGCAAAAGGUGGUACAGUCUCUUGAGGACCGAUUUGGAUUCACAUGUCAUAAGCUUGAAAACCUAAGGAUUUGCACAGUUAGAUAUAGUAACGUGUAUGUCAAAUUACGAUGUCCUCGUAAUUUAAAAUACCCUUUCCAUAGAGUUUAUAUAUGUGUGAUAGUGUGGUAUUAUGUGCCAUUUGAACAUCAAGAUAACCUUAGCAAUGCAUCGCUACAACAAUUGAGUCAAAUGAGUGGAUGUUCAGAUACUCCUAGAGUACACUUCAUUUUCUCACAUGCUAUUAAGGGUGAGCGUGGUUUCAGGGCAGAAUCUAGAACCUAAGAACCUAAUUGGUGGGAACCUAUCCGGUACCAAGUUCCAAGAUGUACAGGUAGGUUCCAAGUUCUAAAAAUUAAAGAAUUUGUUUCGAUGAGUAAGUUUUGGGUUCUAGGUUCUAGGUGGACCUAGAAUCUAGAAUAUGAAAUAAGUUUUUAUAUUUUUCUUGGUUUGUGUAUUCACGUGAUUCUAUACUAUUCUAAGGCAUUCGAUAAUUAUUGUAUUAUUUGGAACCACUAGUCUAAGUUUUCAUUUUAUGACUAACAUUUUUAUUUUGUUAAUGUUUCAUACUUUUCAUGUGUCUAUAUAUAAGUUAUCAUUAGUUGAUUGUAGCAACAAAUGUUGGCAAUAAAAGGUGAUGUUUAAUUGCAAUCAUUCAAUUAAUAAUACAGGUGAAGCUUGGAUAGACCUUGGAAUCGACCCUGAAAUCUAUGAUAGGGUAGGUUCAAGGUUUCGGGAUAUGUAGAUAGGUUCCAGACUCCAAAAAAUGAGGAACCUAUUUCAAUGGAUAAGUUCCAAGUUUCAUGUGCAAUUUGGAAACACUCACAGCCUAUAUGCUAUAAACACACAUAUAGGGUGUUUAUUAUGCGUGAAGUGAGAAAAAUCCUACAAGAGCAUGUUGUUGUGAGAUCAAGCAAUGUUUAGGAGGUGCGCAAUGUGCAAUUCGGCAAUUGGAAGUGCCCUACAUAAGGAUGUAAUCAUCCAACUUUGAUUCCACCAUUUUUUUUUUUUUUGGACCGUAAAAAUUUUGUAUUCACUUACUACUCAAAACCAAAAGAGCCCAUAAAAGGGGCAUCAUUACAAAGCAAAGCCCAUAGGGCUUGAGGUGGGUAAGAUAACCAAUUCCGUGGGAGAUUUUUUUUUUUCCUUUGGGCUCAAGCGAGCCAAUCGACCACAUUGUUAACUUUGGUUCCACCUUCAAUUGGCUUAUUUUGCUUUGUUUUUGCUGUGUUUUGGUCAAGAACUUAUCAAGAAACUGACGCAAGAUCUGAUGCAAUAUUAUUUGUUAAUUUGUUGUGUAAUAUCACCUCCCGCAUUCCCACUCACCCAAGAAAAAAAGCUUGAGUGGAAAUCGAGAAGCCUGUUGGUGGUGAAGGUAGACAACAUGUCAAUACUUUGUUGCUAGCUACCAUCGGGUAGGGAAGUAUAGUAGCUCUCCACACCUAGGGUGAGGCAGGGUGGCUUCAAAACCAUUGCAGGGUGAGCGGAGCUUCGCUUAGGCCUAUCAACUGGUUGCUCACCUUUUAUCCCUGGUUGAUAGGCCUGAGAGUGAAGACCGUCACCUAUUGAAGUUAGGGAACCAUAAGUAAUGAUAGAUUAUUAAAUGCCUAAUAGUUUGCAAACCGAAUGCCAGACGACUACUCAGGUUAAGCGGACAACAUUAAAAGUCACAUCAUUUACGCAUUUGGUUUUUGGUUGGAAACCUAAAGGAGUGGUUUGACCUAGUGUUAAACCAGAGCUGAAUUGCUUGAUUUAAGAAAUACUAGGUAUAACGACCUUCAUAAAAGAAGGCGGUAAGUUUGAGUUGCUACAAGAGCAGGUUAUCCAGAUAAUUGGCGUUGAAUCUUAUCUUGCAUGCUAUAUCGUUACUCUCUACUAUCAAUGUCACUCACAGCUCACUAAUUCUCCUCUUAGAAGCAUAAGUAAAAUGCUGAGUUUGUAACCCUGACAAUGUUAAGGUAUUAUUGACCUAGUUCACAUAUUUCAACCUAAUAAGAACUUGACAGAAUUAAGACAGCUAGCUAGAUCACUAUCUUCCUUGGCACCUUUAUGUAAAUUCACUAUAAUAAUCUAAUUAGAUUACAUCCAAAAUUAGUCCUUCUUUUGCACCUUUAUUUGAGAUCACUAUAGUAACCUAAUUAGAACAGUUUUGUCGAGAUCUUUUAGCCCUCAGUAACCCAAAGAUUAUAUGAUUUGGGUCAUACCAGUGUCCUGAGUUAGCAAAAUUUGCCUAUGGUUUAUUUAAAUUUAUAGAGAUAUGGCACGUAAUGACGUUAAAUGCUUGUGUAUAUCAGUAGUAAUACAUCGACAUACCUUUGUAUCCAUGUGAUAUCACCUAUUUUGAUAACUAUAUGGUACAUCGUGGCAUAUAAUUGACUGCUAAAAAGAGUUCGUUCUUGUUAUUUUAUGAAUAAUAAACCUUACUGAUACGCCAAGGUUCUUAGAUGCUCACUGUUAUUAUGAUGAUUCAGUUUUAUCAGCAAGAAGCAUCCAAGCUUCGGAGACAGAUAAGAGAAAUCCAGGUCUCAAAUAGGUGAGAAUGCAAACUAGAUUGAAAAUGAAAGAUGCUUCAUUUAUUUACUUUGAGGAUUAACAUCAAACCGAAACUGUGUGUAAAGGCAUAUUCUAGGUGAGGGUAUAAGUGAUUUGAGCUUCAAGGAUCUCAAGAAUCUCGAGAGCAAAUUAGAGAAAUCGAUCAGCCGAGUUAGAUCAAAGAAGGUAAAUUUUCACGUCUCUCCGUCAACUGGGAUCAUUAUCAGAACUUGCACUUAAAUUAUUUUCCGUGCAUUUAUUGAUAGACUUUGCGAAUGCUAACUAUUGCAGAAUGAGAUGCUUUUUGCCGAGAUUGAGUACAUGCAGAAGAGGGUGAGUAACUAUCUUUUGAAAUCUCUAAGACUUGAUUCUAGUAUAUUCCCAACAUGGUGAUGAGCAAAUUACUAAGUGUUCUUAUUGGCUUUUAUGAGACCAACAUAAUGUAAAACAACGGUCAAAUUGAGUUCAUUCGUAACAAUGUGUAAGGAAAAGCACCUAUAGAAGAUCCAUUCUGUACACGUAUAAUUUGUUGGUUCUAAUAUGUAUUUUGGCUUUCGCUGUGAAUAUUUUUUGUGGCAUGCUCAAUUACUUCGACCGUUUGCUUAUCUUCUCAUUCCAAGCUACUUAAGGGCCUUGUGCAGGAAAUUGAGCUGCAAAAUGAUAACAUGUAUCUGAGAGCAAAGGUAUCUCUCUCUCUCUCUCUCUCUCUCUCUCUCUCUCUCUCUCUCUCUCUCUCUCUCUCUCUCUCUGUGCCCAUGCAUUCGCAUUCAUACGUAACUUGUCGUAUAGACAUGGUAUUACCAAACCAAUCAUAUAUCUCUAGAUUUUACAACAUAAAAUCCGGAUGGUUAUAACAGUCAAAGUGAUGUCACAAUGAAGAGAUGCGAUUAGUUGAGCUAUGUCACAGAUAUGCAAAGGCGGGGAUAACUUGAGCUGCAGAUAAUCAUGAAAAAAACUAAGCAAUUAUUAGAACUUGGACAUGGACAAUGACUGUAGUGAGAUUGAGUAGACUGAAUUUUGUGUUUGUGAUGAUAUAUAGAUAGCUGAGAACGAGGGAGCACAACAGCAGCAGCAGCAAGGGAGUGAUCAUCACUUCAACAUGCCGGGAUCGUCGUCAGUGUACGAGGCGCUGCCGUCUCAGCCUGCAUACGAUCGCAACUUCCUGCAAGUCAAUGUCCUGGAACCAAAUCACCAAUCUUAUUCUCGAUCCGACCACACUGCCCUCCAACUCGUCUAAUUAAAGCUCAGGUACACUCCCACUUCUUUUCCUAUUCAACUACAGUAUUAGUAACAAAACUUUCUAUAUAUACAUGUCCGUGAACAUGCCAAUCAAGCACAGUUAUAUAUGAUCAAUCCCCUACAUAAUUAGAAAAAAGAAGAUUAUCAUUAGGGAAAUCAAUUUUGUUCCCAAAAGGAUAAAUAACCGGCAAUGGACUCAUCAUGUAUAUCAAAUACAUGUCUUAUUUCUCUUCCUUGCUAUCAAAACACACUCUGUAUGAAGGUGCCGAAAACUAUAGGUUCAGCUUAUGGAGGUGAAGAUGUCAUGAACUGUUGUGACCAGUAUUUUGACUACGCUCUUCAUUUUUUAUCCUAAUCAUAGUCAUAUCACUAAUCAUGUUUCUUUUGUUGAAUUAUCGUAUAAUUAGUUUCUUUUUCCUUCGUGGGUGCAGUUAAUAUGUAGCACUAGCAACUGGACGUAUUGGCACUCUAGAUUAUGCUUUUUAAUAUGCUAGAGUUAGUUGAAAGAGGAAUCAAUGAACUGGGGAGAGACCCGCAUGAUGAGUUUCGCCUAAACAGUGGAAGAACUCUCUGAUAUUUCUCUUCAUCACUCUUCAAACUCUUCUGAUGAAUCGUGUUGUACAAGGGUUAUUGCAAUUUUUAUAUAGUACUUAAGAUCUCUCUCUCUCUCGCUCUCUCUCUCUCUCUCUCUCUCUCUCUCUCUCUCUCUCUCACUCUCAUGCACACAUGCUUGGACUAAUGAAAAAUGAAUUUCUCAAGGAAACAUCGUAGGAUUUUGCAUCUUUGUAUGCCUUGCGCCUGUUCCCAUGCAGAUAUAUGUCAAAAUAGAAGUUUAAGAUUGCAUGGGUUCGCAGUAUAAGAAAGCAAAAUGACCGUUGUACAAUGUUUGAUUCGGGGAUAUUAUCAUUAGUGACGGUCGUAACAGUGGUGUGUCACUGUUGCUGAUGAAGGCGAACCGAUGAUCUUGGCAAUGGUUAUGCUGUAUUAGUUGUGACUGUAGUGACUGACGACUGGUGGUGUUGCGGUGGUUGUUCAGUCCUGACUCCCAAUCUGUUUUGGCUGACAAAUGCUUCACGUCUCCAUUACCAUGCGAAACUAAAAGCACGAAUGGCUGCGAAGGAAAUUGAUGGAUGUAACGACGAACGGGUCAUUACGCUUCUUCAUAAAUUUAUAGACAGAUAGUGAUCGAAAUUCACAAAAAAGAAAAAUUACGCUCCUCUAACCAGUAGUUACAUUCUAAAAGCACUUAACCGUGAAGCUGUCACCUGACUAGGGAAAACAACAAGCCGAAGAUGCCAUCAAGUGGAAUAAACACUAGAAAAUCAUAGAAUUAAGGUCAUGCACUUGACAAAUACUAGAGAAAAUGAUGAUGAAGAAAUCCAAGGACAGGAUAAUCUAAAUCCCGGUACGUGACCACCCUGCUGGGGUGCCGGUUGCAUGCAGGAAGUGCGGAAGCAUGUUAUGUGCUAAGUUCAGGUUCAUGGAAAAUGAAUAUUCAUGUCUAAUUGGAGGAAACCAUUGCAAGUGCAAGGUAAGGGAAUACUUAAUAUCUGAUUGCCUUAUGAUCAUUUUAUUACGAGGGACGAUUGGCAUUGCUUUAUUGUUUCUAUUGCAUUAUGAUGUGCAUCACAUUGAUAAGUAUAUUACAAGCCUGUAUGUUAACUUGAAGCGGGGUUGGAAACGGCGCACAGCCCGCCUAAAAAGAAGACUCUGAGAACUGUCCGUGCUAAGGUGAAGCUAUGGCACCUGAAUUCAAAUUUGCAGCCUCCUCCUGACUUCACAACAAAUGAACAGCUACACGACAUACUAUUAACAUCGAUGACCAGUCGAUCUAAGAAGAGGUGUCAAACUGGCCCAACUUUGGGGGUAAAAACACAAAUUACUCGAUCCCCAGAGUAUAGCUGGAACCGAUGCGGAAUCGGGUUGGGGAAUGCCUUUAAAGAGCCUAGUUUGCGCCCCUCAGAGCUGCAGAAGUUCUCUUCAGAGCUGGCUUUUGAGCGGAUGAACUGCCUUUUGAACCAUGAGGAUUCUAGGACGGCGAAGCAGUGCUCCAGAAACAUCUCCCCACCAAUCUUGAUUGCCGACAUACCCCUCCAUCGUCUUCCCUCAAGACCUCCUCCUCCUUAGCCGUCCGUUCGAAGUUCGAACCUUCCCGUGUUCUUCAACCUUUGAUCCAUCUGGCAACUCCGGUCGUCGAAAGGCCCGUUCCCCGCAGACUUCAUCCGCGUGUUUGGAAUCACAUUGAUCACCCUCCUCUCCUCCUUAGCCGCUACGUCGCAAAACCGACCCGGUUCGCUCUGCGGCAUCCUCGCAGUGGAGAAAACGGCGAGCGUUUGAUCCAUGCCCGGGGUUCGGAAGGGCGUGUCCUAUCAUGGCCGGUACGAUGAACCUCAGAAUCACCUUCUUCGGGAAUCGGUGAGGCGCAUAGAUGUUCUUCUCCCGGGCAGUUGUGACGGGUGAUCCAUCUGUUCGCGCCAUGGGCGUUCAUUUCCUAAUGUUCGUCAAAGUCCAAACAGUAUUCAUCCCUCUUUCAGAUAUUGCCCCUAAUUCAACGUCACUCUCAACCGCUGUAAGGUGAUGGAGAUCAUCUUUGUAAAAAAUAUUUACUGUUGAGAUUAUAGGGUUUUUAAACUAUAUGUUUACUAUUUUGACGAUCCUAUGAUAAGUUUAUUUGUUCAAUUGAUUACUUGCCGUCAUGCUGUAUGAGUUUUUCCGUAAUGAUACGAGCUCAUUCAUAUUUAUAUCAUUCACUUGCUAACUAUGGUCUAUCACAUUAUAUGGUUCGUUAAAUGAUCCUUCGACCAUACAUGAAUUAUCAUGUUGAAUAUAUAAUUUUGCUAUCACGUGAUGGGUAUCCACACGAGAUUAAACUUUUUCAGAACUCAUUAUAAUAAUCCUCAUUACGGAAACGAGUCAUAAUCCCCAACGAUCGCUCUCAUAGAGAACAUUGUAGAAUGCGACAUUUCCACCCGCCCCAUGCUUCAACUUGUACAAUUAUAUGCCGGAAUGAAGAGUUCAAGCUGGCAAUUUUUUCGCGCUGCAACAAAGCAAUAAUGACUGGUGAUGUUUGUCGACAUGAGAAUUCGAUCAUUGGUGAUGGCAGUGGCAGCGGCGUGUUGCUGUUAAUGGUGCAGGUGUUGUUAGUUUAGGAUUUUAAACAAGGAUGGAAGUGGAAGAAUGUGAAUAUGAGAGUGGGACACUCAUUGGAACGAAGAACAACUUUUAGGAACAGUAAUACAGAUGAUCCAUGAACUUUGGUUCAAUAUACAAUAUUGUCUUUUAAUUUAUCUAAUAUGAAUCAUAAACUUUAAUUUAAUUUGUAAUAUCGUCAUAAAUUUUAAUUUGUUGAAUAUAUUUUAUAAAUUUUUGGUACAUGUUCAAUUUAGUCUUUGAGUAGAAAAAGUGUUAAAAAAGUUCUAAAUAUUUUACAUUUGUGUUAAUUUAGUCCUAAACCAUUUUACUUAGUCCAGCUAAAUUUGGCCAGAUUUUUCUUACUAGGCGUCGGCCGGCUGACGUGGUACGAUUAGCGCUAACGUCGACAAAUUUUAAUAAUAUUUUAAUAUUUUUAAAAUUUUUCUUUUUCUUUUUUUCUUUUUUCCUUCUCCUCCUGCGUCCUCCAAUCGGUUGCCGAACAUUGGCAAUCGGCCAAAGGUGACAACUAAUGAGGAUUGUGAGGGUGGCCUUGUGGCCUAAGCAACCUCGAGCUGGCCUCGCCCAUGGCUAGUGAGGCUCAACCCUCAUCAGGUCCAGCAAGCUCGAGCCUCACCAGCCCUACGUGAGGCCGCCCUCGCGGCUUCUGGCCAAGGUAGAGCCUCGUUGCCCAGGCCAUGAGGGCAGCCUCACGCCAAGCUGGCGAGGGUUGCCCUCAUUGGAUUUGGUGAGGGUGGCCUCGCCAGCUGUCACCUCUGGCCGAUCGCUAAGGUUUGACAACCAAUUAGAGGAAUGAGGGGGAAAAAGAAAAAGAAAAAGAAUAAAAAAUAUUAAAAAUAUUAUUAAAAAUUGUUCAAGUCAACGCUAAUUGAAUUGGUUGGAAAUGAGUGAAUUGGCACUAAGUAAAAAUGUUUAAGAUUAAAUUAGCACCAAAAAAAGGUUUAAGACUAAAUUUGUACAAAUGCAAAAAGUUGACUUUUUUUUAACACUUUUCCCUUUUUGAGCUAUAUGAAUAUAUCUAAGUUUGUUCUUUCAUUUAUUAAAGUUUAUGGAAGUUGCUGAUUUGAUUUCCAAUCCGGUUCGUUUGAACAAUGGACAAAAACAAAAUGUUACGUGUAAACUUGAAAUAAUAAAAGGAAAAUAUAGGAAUAUUUUCAUAUAGUUUAGGGACUAGAAAAACUUUGGGGCCACAUUAAAUAUAUUAAAAAUUUAGGGACAAUAUUACACAUUAAGCUAAAGUUCAAUGAUCACAUUGAAUAAAUUAAAAUUUUAGAAAUGAUAUUGUAUAUAUGAUCACAGUUUAAGGACCAUUCGAGUAAUUGCCCUGAAUUUUUAUCAUUGUCACUUGAGUUUUACAAGGAAAUAUGGGUGGAGGCUUUCUUCGGGUUGGUUUAUUCUGCGUACGCAAUCGAGCAUCUACCAAGACUAUAUAUGGGAUGUCUAUGACCUACAGUCGUCGGCAACAUCUCUGAACAUUGCAUCAAGAGGGGUGGAGGAUCUCUUGGCUUUUCCCGAAAUUGAUCGCAACCCAACAAUCUACUCGGCAGUGGCAAUCCUGUAAUCGGAUCGCAUAGAGUAAUUGGAUCGCAUACACCGACAAAUGCAUCGUGAAUGCGUUAUUGCACAAGGUUCAAAAAUACUGACUCGCUACAAAUGUGAUCCACAGAAGGUUAUUACACUUCUUGAAUGCGUUAUUACACAAGGUUGAAAAGUACUGACUCGCUACAAAUAUGAUCCACGAAAGGCUAUCACGCUUCUCCGUGAAUUCUAGACAAAUCGAAAUUUGCAAAAAAGAGUACACCCCUCUAGCCUGCAGUUGGCUUCACGAAAUGGGUUACGAUCAUAAUAAACGAUCAGACCGAAAUUCUAUGGAGUGAUAGAAUUAAGGUCGUGCUUGACAAUUAAUGAUGAAGAUAAUAAACGCGUACAAUUCUACAAUCACCCAUGAUAAAUUAAUAGCAGGAACGAUUCAUGCUUCAGCUUGAUGAAUGCUUCCAGUCACAAAAAAUUCCUGACAGCUACAUUCCUCAUGGCCUAAUUGCCGCUCAGGCGAUAGAAGUUCUCUUAUUGGGUUCAAAGACAUACUUUAUGAGUGAGUCCUUAAUGGAUAAUAACUCAGGGAAUUCCCGCUUCAGCUUUGACGCGUCCAUCUCGUUGUUGCUUCGUGGCGCGACAAUCACCUUGGCCUGCUCUUCCAAAGUGAAGUUGACCCACUUGAAAUCAGGGUCGAUGUAGGCCUUAUACAUCUCCAAGAUCUCGUUGUGGCUAACCGCCCCGGGAUUGGUGAAGUUCCAUAUACCCCUCAAGUUCCUCUUGGCCAUCUCAACUGAAAUUGGCAAAAGUUCAUCCAAGAUGGUCAUGCUAUUUGGGAUGUUGACCACCUUGUUGUAUCGCGAAAUCUUUGUGAUAAAGUUACGGGGAUUGCUCAAAUCAGAAGAUAUUGGCAUUCGCACUCUUAGAGUGCAAACAUUGUCAUAUUCCUUCAGAAGCUCUUCAACCUGGCACAAAAAUAAAUAGAGUCAGAUUAGUUGACAUGCAUAGUCAAUCGCAUCAGAUGAGUAAUCAGAGUGAGCUUUUCUACAUUAAAGGAGGAGUUACCAUGGCUUUGGUUUUAGAAUAGAAGGAACCAAUGAAAUUUGGCUUGUCUUCCUCUUUAAAACCGAUUCCUGACCCCAACGGGUGUGUUUCAUCAUACUCAAAUAUACAGCCAGUAGCAUAAUUCAUCAUUAGGAGCCCACGCUCUCUGCACACAUCAGCCAAGGUUAGCGUGCCAACGACAUUCGUGCGGAUUGUCUCAGGUUUGUGAGUUUCACACCAAUCAACAUUUGGUCUCCCAGUCACUCCAGCAGCAUUGAAUACAUGUGUGGGCUUUACAGUCUGAAUGUCUGCCAAGAUCUGUGCAGCGUUCUCCAAUCGUCCCUUUCCAUACUCGAAUGGAAUUCUUUGCUUCUCACAGAUCUUCCCCAGUAGGCCACCAAUCCAACCCGUUCUGCCAUAAAUCAAGAACUUCAAAGUGGGCUUUUGAGCAGAGGGACUGCUCUUCGGAUCUCGAACCACCAUCCCAUUAGGAGUAUGAUUUUCCACCGCAUAGGAGGAAGAGUUGUUGACAUCCGGCCCAUCAAAUUUUCUUUCGAUCCCCGGGACCAUGAGCAUUUUAGGAUGAGGAAGCAGUGCUCCAGAAACAUCUCCCCACCAAUCUGGAUUGCUGACGUACCACUCCAUCGUCUUUCUUAGGCCCUCCUCCCAUAUGGUCCGUUCAAACCAUCCCAAGUUCUUCAAUUUUUGGUCAUCUAGGAAAUAUCUUUGGUCAUUGAAGGGCCUGUUCUCCACAAACUUUAUGUGCGUAUCAGGGUCCAUCUUAAAAAGUCUGCAGAUUUCCUUGGCCACAUCAAUCACUCUCCUCUCCUUCUUAGUCCCAAUGUUGUAAACAUGGCCCACCUCACCCUUGUGGAGAAUAACUUCAAACGCCUCUGCAACAUCCUCACAGUAGAGAUAACUACGUACAUUCGAUCCAUCCCCAUGAAUUGGAAGGGGUUGUCCUUUCAUGGCAAGCAAGAUAAAUUUUGGGAUCAACUUCUCAGGAAAUUGAUUGGGGCCAUAGACGUUGUUCCCUCUGGUAGUUAUGACAGGUAGCCCAUAUGAUCGCCCAUAAGCCAUAACAAGCAUUUCUGCACCUGCUUUUGUGGCAGAAUAUGGGUUUGUCGGGAGCAGUUGAGAAGCCUCAUGAUUACCAACCACGGCAUCCUCAUCAGUCUCCCCAUAAACUUCAUCAGUGCUCACAUGGAUGAACCUCCUGAUCUGGCCGGUGACUUUGCAGGCUUCUAAAAGGACAUGGGUUCCAUAGAUGUUAUUUUUGGUGAACUCAAAGCUGUUACCAAAAGAGUUGUCCACAUGGGUCUGAGCUGCAAAGUGCAUGAUGGUGUCAAUGGACUCCGUAAGGAGGAUGAAAUUGACAAGAUCAGCACUGGCAAUGUCCCCCUUGAUGAACUUGAAGUUGGGAGAGGAUCGCGAUGGAAGCAGGUUUUUCAGAUUCGAACAAUAAUCAAGCUUGUCCAGGACCACAAUCUUAUAACCAGGGUAGUUCCGAAUAAGCCGGUUGCAGACAUGGGAUGCAAUAAAGCCGGCAGCCCCAGUUAUGAGAAUGUUCUUUGGUGUGUAUGCGGUAGCCAUAGCGAAAGACUCUGUACAUGCGUCGUAAGAAUUAUAGAGUGAGACUGAAAGCUGAGGGUAAUAAAUUAAGCAAAAUUACCCGAGUCAAAGCAGAAGGCAGAGGAUAUGUCAUUUUCAGAACAAAUUCAAAAGAAAUGUCAAAACUUCACAAACAUUUCGGAAAAGUUAACCGGAUCUUUUGACUCUCGAUCUAUUGGUGACAUAAAGUUCAUGAACCAAAAAUGGAAAGACGGCACCAACAAGUUUCUUUCACUAUGCAACUUCCCUAGCUUCCUUCGCAAACGGGACCAUAGACAGUUUUAAGGAUACUUUAACUAAAACCUUAAAGAAGACAUAUUAACCAUGUCAUCAUUCAGUUUUUUAACAUGCGUAGGCACCAGAUCUCUGGUCCACGUGGAGACACAACCUCAAAAGGAAAGGGAUAUGAAAAAGAAUUGGGAAUACAGAGAAAAGGCCAUCUAGAGGGCGAGCAGUAUACUUGAACCUCUCAAGAAAUCCUUCUUCAGAGUACCCAGAUAAUACCGGUCGCUCGGCUUCCAUCUAACAGAGAUAUUCGAACGUAAAUUUGUGCAUCCAUGUCGUUCCCACACAUACACACAGAGAGGAUGAUCUUUCAAGAAGGCUUUUUGACCGUUAAAAAGAUGAAAUUCGAGAUGAUGCUUUCACAUGGCAAUACGAAAACAAACAAGAGAUCAUCACCGAACAACACAUCUCCAACAAGAUGCAAAGAGUGAGAUUCGCCGAAAGAAACACAGAGCAGAGAAAACCACAGGAACGAUCAAUAUUCAAGAGAGGCACGGAGAUGACACGGAGUCAUCUGCGUGCCACGAAAUAGCAAGGAAGAAAACGGUAAUGCAAAGGCGCAAAUCCGCGUUGCACCGAUCAUCAAGGAGCUCUCCACAGCGACUGUUCCGGCCAGCCCUGUUCCUCCUCGACGAGGAACGCCAGAUCACGUCACGAACCGGCGAAGCGCGACACCACAUUGCCAGAUCUGGACCUAGAACGCCCCCAGAUCUCGACCGCGGAUCCCCAUCCUGCCCCCCUCGACAUCCGCGGCCAUUCUCAGCAGGAUCGCAUUCACCAACGCCCAAACCCAAAAAAAAAAAAAAAAAAAAAACGGCCGAAGAAAGAGAAGAAGCGCAUUGCGCGAUUCCGAAUCGAGAGGCGCGCUCGCGAAACCGCGCGCCCGCCGCGCGAUCUAUGGGGGCUCGAUCGACGCGCCGCGGCGAAAUCGGAACUCAUAAUCAUCGCCGACGACGGCGGCGGCGGCGGCGGAGGGGAGAUCCACAUUAUAGACAAUGAGAACGAAGGAACGAACGAAGGGCGCGAGCACUUACAGGGAAUCCGGCGAGGCCGCGGGCGAGGAGCAAUCCACCGGCACUGGCGAUCCCGCAAAGCCGUAACAGCUCGACAAUAAUGACGACGACAAGAGAGAGAAAGAGAGAGGGAGAUCUGGGGGACAGUGAGACAGGAUGUGGAAGGUAGUUACACUGGCUAUUUAUAAAUAUGCGUGGCGGUUUUCACUUCCCUUAAUUAUGUUUUUUUUUUUCCUUAUAAUUUAAUGUUUAUGUUUUUUUUUUUUUUCCUUUUCCCUCCCUGGUCUCACGUUUUAAUUACGAAUGAUCAACUUAAUCAGCUGCUAGCUGCUGCUUACAGUACCUCGAAAGGAAAAAGAAGGGGGGUGGAAGUAAGUAACUGCGUGGCGCGGCCCAAUGGGACGACGAUCGUCGCGCCGAAAAAGCAUGCGGGCCCCCGAUGCCAUAAAAGGUCCAGGGCUGUGUGAGGGCGAUCUCAUUGAUAACCGGUCGUAUCAUUUGCGAUAGGAACAAUCAAUUCUUGAGUAGGUACAUUCACGUUUCAGGUUCGGAAUCUACCCUCUCAAUAUCAAUUCGCAACUUUUUUUUUUUUAAUUUAAUGAUUUUUCUUUUCUUUCUCUCCCUCAUUGGGUCUCUCGUUUUAAUUACGAACGGUUAACUUAAUCAGCUGCCGCUGACAGUAUCUCGAGAGGGAAGGGGUAGAUAAGUUUCACGUAUUAGGUCAGGAACCUAACCUCUCAAAACCGAUUUGCAACUUUUUAAAUGUGAAACACAUUCUACUUGUUUUGGAAUUGACUUUGAAACCCAUUUUGUCUUAUCGAUGAGGUUCCAAGGUUUACUUGAGAACCUUCUUUCCUUUUGUUUUUUUAUUUAUUAUUUUUAUAUUUUUUAUAACAAAAUAAUAUGAGUGAUGAAUCGGUUUAAAGUAAAAGAUUAACAACCGAGCAAAGGUGAGCCAGUAACAAGCAAGGAACGUGAGGCUUAAACAAGCAAGGUCGAGCCGUAAGGAGGAGGGUGAGUCGCGAGCAAGAGAGAAAGAGAGUUGUAAAGUAUUGGAGUGAAAGUUAAGAAGAACCAAUCUCCAAUUGGGGAUGAUGUUUCUUCUUUCUCUUCCCAAAGGAGUACCUUGAAUUUUUACGUUUCGGAGUUCAAACAUAGCUGUUUAAUGUAUUAUCAAGGACAAUGAGAGAGAAUAGAGAAAAAGAUGCCAAGAGAGAAAUUAGGAACUAAUUUCAAAUUUGGUCCGGUUCUUCAAAUAGAAUCGGAAAUGUGAAACCAAAUCAGUUUUCAGGAUUGUCAAUCUGGUUUCCAAAUUGAUCCCAUUUGGCUGCGCACUACUAAUGCCCAAGUCCCGAAGAUUUACUCUAUUUGUCUUUUUUACUAUUCUUUUAUCAAUCUAAUUAAUGGGGGGAUUAAAUUUAAUAAGUUGCAUCAAUUCCAGCAUUAAAUUUGUAUUUUUUUUUACGUGGGAUGUCACGGGUUAUCCGAGCAUCACGUGGGAGAACUUCUGGUAAUAAUUGUUGUCUCCCUAGGUGCUCUAAUUUUCAACAUUCCCGGCUGUUUAAUGUCCUUUGCUUUGCUUUUCUUGUCCAUUUCGAGGUUACAUUGAUUAAACCUUGUUUAGUACUCUAACGAUGCCAGGAGGUGUUAGGUUCGAUGCCAAGAAAUUUUUGGUAGGUGCGUUGAGCUAUAACGAUAAGGAAAUUUUAGAGGAGAGAGAGAGAGAAAUCUUUAUUCGAAAGUUAGGCAUGUUUGUUUUCGAUUAAAUUUAAUCAGGAAUUUUUGGUUUUCUCUAAUGAAUUUCAAAAAAAAAAAAAACUAUGGAAAUAAAUGUACAUGGAUUUGCACAUCGACACUUAUAAUAUCGUGAAAGUUCUCAGAUAUUUAUGAUUGAGAAAAAAAAAAUCAAGUACUUACUGAAUGAUUACGUCAUCUGUCCACCAAAUCGAUAAUAUAAUAAGAAAAGUCAGUCACUUGUUUAUUUGUUGAAAUGCAUCAUACCCUCUAGUUAAUGAAGCGGAUGGGCAAUUUAAUUUUUCGAAAGGCUGAUUUUGUGCAUUAAAUGUUCAUAAGUCGUAACUUUCUAUUUUUAUUUUAGCAAAGGUUUAGUGUUGUUAAAAAGCCAUUUUCUCUCGUUUUCACUGCCCUAAUUGCGAAUAAAUGAAUUGAUGAUUAAGAAUGUUUUGGAAAGGAGAGGAUGUGGUCCAUAUUAAGUUAAUGCAACCUACCCACAAUGCAUUAUGGAUCUUUCUUUAAAUUCAUAUCAUUAUUAUUAUUAUUAUCAUUAUCAUUAUCAUUAUCAUUAUCAUUGAAAGCUAUGGGGAUCUAAUGCUCCGAUUUGGAAUUCACUUAGGUCACAUGGCAUCGCGCGGGCAGCAUGAGCGGAAUCCCUUUACACCACGUGAUGGCCACUGUGCCAACCAUACUCCGUCCACAUUAUUAUCUCCACCUCAAAGAUGGGACCAGAAAUUCAGUUCGAAUUCAAUUUUUGUACAAGUCGGGAACCCCUCCAGCUUUACGGCACUUCCGAUCGAUUUGAUCAUGCUACGUGAAAAACGAUAUUAUAUUCAUACAAUCUACUUAUAUAUAUAUUGUUACAUUUGGGUUUUUACUCGAACUGUGAUGUUCUUAAGGCAUCCCGCGUGCUUAGAUAGUUGGGAAUGGUAGCUCGCAUCAGCUAGCAUGAGUAGAAUCCUUUUACAUCACAUGAUGGCCUCUCUACUAGCUAUAGUCCUUCCACAUUAUUAACUCUACCUUGAAAAUGGGACUAGAAAUUCAUUUCAAAUUUAAUUUUUGUACGAGAUGGGAACCCCUCCAGCUUUACCAGACUUCCAAUCAAUUUGAUUCCGCACAUGGUCGAAAAUGAAUUAAUUGAUCUUGGCUCAGUUCACUCUAUUAGAACCUGUUGUGUGAAAACGAUAUCGUAUUCGUGUGAUUUAUUUAUAUUUUGUUGGAGAUAUAGUUGAAGAUUGUGAUCAUGAAUUGUGAUCAUGGCAUCCAUCCUAAUUGCGGGCCGAUUGAUUUAGUGAAUAUGUGAUAGUUUUAGUAAAUAUGAAAUUUAUAAUUCUUUGUAUAUUAUUUCUUUUUCUUCUUUUUCAUUCUUGCACUAUAAAUGAAUUAAUGUACUUGUAUACAAUGAGAUCAAUAUACAGAGAAAUUUCCUCCUUUUUUUUCCUUCGUUUUCUAUCAUGGUAUCAGAGCUAGUGUUCUUGGCCUAGCUUCCGCAUAUUUAGAAUUGCCUCUAGUUUUUUUUUUUU
rnacentral:lncRNA from 1 species